CUCAAAUCAAACAAUGUUCACGGCAUCACAGAAUCUAACCAUUUAAAUCCAAAAUGGUUUCCAAUUAAAGACUUAAGGUCAUUAACUUCCCUGCAAGUGAUCUUCAAUCCUGUCCGGAAACAAGAUAAAAAGUGGAAGGUACUUGAACUUUGAUUGGAGUGGAUGUGAAGGACAUGGUCUGGCGAAUUAUGAGGCAGGCAAUCAAAAAUGACUUGGCUAAAGCGGAAAACACCAAACCAAAAUUUGGAGCAUAAAAACAUUGUGAUUGCACACAAACCAGAAGUAAAUGAUCUGCUGGUUGUCUUCCUGUGA
rnacentral:lncRNA from 1 species